rnacentral:misc_RNA from 1 species
UAAAAUCUCAAGCCUCUUGCUUGGUGUUGGGUCUUCGUCCCUCCCCCAUGAAAGGGGGGGGCUGGACGUGCCUGAAAAUCAGUGGCGGUGCCGCGAUGGUCUCAAGCGUAGUAGACUCUCUCUCGCUUUGGAUGGCUUGUCGUAUGGCUCACCAGCCUCAUCAUUAGAUGAACUUCUAAAAAG